rnacentral:rRNA from 1 species
CAGCAGCCACGGGAAUACGAAGGGUGCAAGCGUUACUCGGAAUUACUGGGCGUAAAGCGUGCGUAGGUGGUGGUUUAAGUCCGUUGUGAAAGCCCUGGGCUCAACCUGGGGAUUGCAGUGGAUACUGGGUCACUAGAGUGUGGUAGAGGAUAGUGGAAUUUCCGGUGUAGCAGUGAAAUGCGUAGAGAUCGGAAGGAACAUCUGUGGCGAAGGCGACUAUCUGGGCCAACACUGACACUGAGGCACGAAAGCGUGGGGAGCAAACAGGAUUAGAUACCCGAGUAGUCCCUGUCUCUUAUAC